UACGGAGGGGAUUAGCGUUGUUCGGAAUUACUGGGCGUAAAGCGCACGUAGGCGGAUUGUAAGUCAGGGGUGAAAUCCCGGGGCUCAACCUCGGAACUGCCUUUGAUACUGCAAAUCUCGAGUCCGGAAGAGGUGAGUGGAAUUCCUAGUGUAGAGGUGAAAUUCGUAGAUAUUAGGAAGAACACCAGUGGCGAAGGCGGCUCACUGGUCCGGUACUGACGCUGAGGUGGCGAAA
rnacentral:rRNA from 1 species